rnacentral:rRNA from 1 species
UACAGAGACUGCAAGCGUUAUUCGGAUUCACUGGGCGUAAAGGGUGCGUAGGCGGUCGUGCAAGUCGGAUGUGAAAUCUCAGGGCUCAACCCUGAAACUGCAUUCGAUACUGCGCGGCUAGAGUGCUGGAGGGGAGACUGGAAUUACGGUGUAGCAGUGAAAUGCGUAGAUAUCGUAAGGAAGACCAGUGGCGAAGGCGGCUCACUGGCCCGGUACUGACGCUGGAGGUGACGAAGCGUGGGGAGCAAACAGG